ACCAGAAAUACUAAGAAUAUUGAUCACUCUAAUUAAUCUUAAAACUUGUUUCAUAGUCUGAGCAGCAUUUCGCAAAACUUUCGUUGUGAGAGGUCCAGAACUUUUCCUCUGUACAAAUACAGUCUGAGGAUUAGUGUAUUUGUUACUGCUCAUUGGUUCAACAUGAGGACGUCGCUCUUUUUUGUGUUAUUAUUCUUCAUAAUAUUCACCUUGGCUUACUGUCAGCACUUAGAGGCCUUUAUACUAGCGAAAGCUCUGCACAAGAAAUCUCGUAUCAAGAACAAACUCAAAGACAAAAAAGCAAUUAAAUACGGCUUGGAAGCUGCAAAGAAAUUGAAAAAAGGAACUGCACAAGCCGUCGUUGGUAAACCGUUAAUAUUGGUAGGCGUCAUAUUGGGGCCAUUAGGUGUUCCCAAAAAGAUAGCUGGAAAAGUACUCAAAACGAAGUCUGUGGCUAAUAAAGUAAAAGCUGGAGUAUUAACCGUAAAAAAACUGUCUAGGGAUUCCAUUCGCAACGGAUAAAGAGAUUCGGGUUGAACCAAGAUUGUCAUCGUGAUGUUCUUUCGAAUAUUUUAAACUGAAUGUUAUACAACGAACUUACUAAACUUUGUAAUUUAUUUUAGAAGAUUAAUAAAAAAAA